GCAGAUAGCUCAGUUGGUAGAGCAUGAGACUCCUAAUCUCAGGGUUGUGGGUUCGAACCCCACGCUGGGCA
rnacentral:tRNA from 1 species